AGCGGCUUAGCACAGAGGAAGUGCGUUGGGCUCAUAACCCAAAGGUCGGAGGAUCGAAACCUCCAGCCGCUA